rnacentral:rRNA from 1 species
AACCUGGUUGAUCCUGCCAGUAGUCAUAUGCUUGUCUCAAAGAUUAAGCCAUGCACGUCUAAGUACAAGACUCACUAAGUUGAAACCGCGAAUGGCUCAUUAAAUCACACCUAAUCUACUGGAUAGUUAACAGUUACUUGGAUAACUGCGGUAAUUCUGGAGCUAAUACAUGCAACAAGCCUCGAACUUACGUGAGAGGCGCUUUUAUUAGAUCAAAACCAAACGUUUUCGGACGUAUUUUUGGUGACUCUGGAUAACUUUGAGCUGAUCGUAUAGCCUUGUGCUGGCGACAUAUCCUUCGAAGGUGUGCCCUAUCAACUGUCGACUGUGGCAUAGACGCCCACAGUGGUUUUGACGGGUAACGGGGAAUCAGGGUUCGAUUCCGGAGAGGGAGCCUUAAAAACGGCUACCACAUCUAAGGAAGGCAGCAGGCACGCAAAUUACCCAAUGACCGCAGGUCGAGGUAGUGACGAAAAAUAACGAUACGGGACUCAUCCGAGGCCCCGUAAUCGGAAUGAGUACACUUUAAAACCGUCCCCGAGGAUCUAUUGGAGGGCAAGUCUGGUG